AUUGGGACAGAAAUUAGACUAGAGGCUACUAGGUUCUGGGUGGGGGCACCGGAGAGUUAUUGCUUAAUGGGUACAGAGUUUCUCUUUGGAGUGUUGAAAUUUCUUGAAAAUAGUGGUGAUGGCCGCGGAGAAUUGUGAGUGUAAUUUGUGUCACUGAAGGCUACAACUUUGAGUUUACCUCUCUUCGUCCCCCAGGCCAGGGGCAGUGGAGGAACUUAACAGGAGCCUGGAGUCAUGUAAAUGGAAGGGGCAGGAUUUGAGCAAGAUCAGUGUGGGCAGCCUCCCUCCAAGAGGCCAGCAGCUGUAGUGAAGUGCUUCUCAGGGCCUCACACCUCCCUUGGAGUGCCAUUUGCGGUUCUGUCACUAAAGAGAAAGGACCCCCUGAAAGUGAGAGGAGGAAGAGGUAGGAGACCGAUUAUCUCGUGGCUGAACCUUCUGUCAACGUUUUCGGAAAGAGCAGGGUGCUGUUCAUUCCCAGGAAGGUGGUGAGGCCAGCACAGUACAAGACACGACAGGAUGAACUUCUGGAGCUCUGGCAGAACCAGUCUCACAUUCCUGGGGUGGAGAACGGAGACCAUCAUCCGUACCUCGCAGCGUCCUUGUGAAGGAAGAGAACUUUACUAUUCUUAAGAUCUUGACCUCCUUUACUUCCAGAAAACCUUUGUAGUUUUAAGGCUGAUGGCCUGUCAUGGCACAAGGAAGCAGAAUGGAUGUGUUCCAUUUUGGAGGCUUGAAAAGGGCCCAGUGGCCUGAGCCUGCCAGUUAGCCCCCAGGGGCUGGAAUAACAAGCGGAGUGACAUUGAAAGUAAAUUGUUCUACUUAAAGUGUUGAAUCUUAACACAUCUUUUCCUGUGGCUCCAGAACUCUCUUUUUCUAUCAGGCUUUGUGGCUUUUAUACAAGAACCAGAAUUGAGGGCCAAGCCACACCCUGGACAGUCCUGGCCAUGUCCUAGCCACUGACCCAUAAGUGACGGGAAUUAUCUGUGGAUUGUCUUUUUCGGAGAGAUGGGGUGUGACUACAGUUCUGAUCAAUGAUGCUGGUGACACUUAUCUUUAUCCAAAGAGACACAUUAGAAACUUAGUGCUGUGUGGCUCCAAAGGGAUCCCAGUCUUUCUGGGAGAAAUGGCUAAGUCAAUGAUGAUAUAAGCAGAGAAUGUAACAUUUUGCUCUAUGAAAAAUCCUACUUUCGAAGCUUUCUUAUUGACAUGGGAAAAUGUUAACAUCACAUCCAUUCUGAUAAUCCACACCGGUGCCUCUGCGGCAGAACACCAGCUGAUGAGAGAGGAACAGAAGCACAAACAGGCCACGCCCGAAUCUUCUGGAAAUUACUCUUUGGCUGGUUUCCAUCCCAUAGCUAAUUGGUGUGCUUUUCAGACCUUGUGAACCAGAAGCGAUGGCCCCAGGAUCACAAACUUCGCAAUUGGAAGCUCAGCCUGUCUUGGCACAGAGGGAGAGCCUUUGCUCCGCAAACCGUGGGUGAUCACUCCUACUGGGAAGUCCAGGGCCAGCAGUCUGGGGUCAGGGUUCCAGGUUGGGCUCAGUGAUCAGGGCUUCAGGGCGUAGGACCCUCGUGCUUCCUGUACAGGCUGGGGGCAGGGGCCCUGCCUUCCUGCCUCCUCACGCCAAGUCCUAAGGUCAUGCCCAGGUCUCUGGACCCCUGCCCUGUAUCUGGUAAGGGACUUGUUUCUAGAAUAUGUAAAGAACUCCUACAAUUUAAUAAUAAAAGGACAACCCAAUUUAAAAAAUGGGCAAAAUAUCUUAGUAGACACUUGUCCAAAGAAGAUACACAAAUAUAUAAGCACAGG